GAUGAACGCUGACAGAAUGCUUAACACAUGCAAGUCAACUUGAACUUCGGUUUGGGUGGCGGACGGGUGAGUAACGCGUAAAGAACUUGCCUCACAGAUAGGGACAACAUUUGGAAACGAAUGCUAAUACCUGAUAUUAUGAUUAUAUGGCAUCGUAUAAUUAUGAAAGCUAUAUGCGCUGUGAGAGAGCUUUGCGUCCCAUUAGCUAGUUGGAGAGGUAACGGCUCACCAAGGCGAUGAUGGGUAGCCGGCCUGAGAGGGUGAUCGGCCACAAGGGGACGGAGACACGGCCCUUACUCCUACGGGAGGCAGCAGUGGGGAAUAUUGGACAAUGGACCAAGAGUCUGAUCCAGCAAUUCUGUGUGCACGAUGAAGUUUUUCGGAAUGUAAAGUGCUUUCAGUUGGGAAGAAAAAAAUGACGGUACCAACAGAAGAAGUGACGGCUAAAUACGU
rnacentral:rRNA from 1 species